rnacentral:misc_RNA from 1 species
GUAAAUUUGUAGAUGCAGUAUUAAAUGAGUGGCAGAAGACAGUGAUGGAUUUGCCUGCUGGAUUUCGUCAGGCUUAUGAAAUGGGUUUAGUUAGCUCGGCGCAAAUGGUAAAAUUUUUAUCAAUCAAUGCCAGGCCAACUGCAACUCGGUUCAUUUCACGAACACUUCCUCAAGGAAUUUCACGGGCAUUUAUUGGCAGGAUGUUAGCAGAUCCUGCCUUUCUCUAUAGGCUUCUUUUGGAGCAGGCUGCUACAAUUGGCUGUUCA